GGGGGAAUAAAGAGAGCGUUAGAAUGCAAGUCGUACGAUGAACCCGUAUGCGGGGGGAUUAGUGGCGAACGGGUGAGUAAAAGGGAGUAACCUGCCCUUAACUCUGGGAUAAGCCUUGGAAACGGGGUCUAAUACUGGAUAUUGACUUUUCCUCGCAUGGGGAUUGGUUGAAAGAUUUAUUGGUUUUGGAUGGACUCGCGGCCUAUCAGCUUGUUGGUGAGGUAAUGGCUCACCAAGGCGACUACGGCUAGCCGGCCUGACAGGGUGACCGGCCACACUGUGACUGAGAUGAGGCCCUGACUCCUACGGGACGUUGCUGCGGUGAAUAUUGCCCAAUGGCCGAAAAACUGAUGCAAUAAC
rnacentral:rRNA from 1 species